rnacentral:SRP_RNA from 1 species
GCCGGGUGUGGUGACGCGCACCUGUAAUCCCAGCUACUCGGGAGGCUGAGGCAGGAGAAUCACUUGAACCAGGGAGGCAGAAGUUGCAGUGAGCCAAGAUCGUGCCACUGCACUCCAGCCUAGGUAACAGAGUGAGAUUCCGUCUCAA